AGAGUUUGAUCCUGGCUCAGGAUGAACGCUAGCGGCAGGCCUAACACAUGCAAGUCGAACGGUAACAGCACUUCGGUGGCUGACGAGUGGCGCACGGGUGCGUAACGCGUAUACAAUCUACCUUUUACAGGGGGAUAGCCCAGAGAAAUUUGGAUUAAUACCCCAUGGCAUAUAUUUAUGGCAUCAUAUAUAUAUUAAAGAUUCAUCGGUAAGAGAUGAGUAUGCGUUCUAUUAGCUAGUUGGUGCGGUAACGGCGCACCAAGGCUACGAUAGAUAGGGGCCCUGAGAGGGGGAUCCCCCACACUGGUACUGAGACACGGACCAGACUCCUACGGGAGGCAGCAGUAAGGGAUAUUGCGCAAUGGGCGAAAGCCUGACGCAGCAACGCCGCGUGCGGGAUGACGGCCUUCGGGUUGUAAACCGCUUUUCAGGGUGAAGAGGAAGGACGGUAGCCCUGGAAUAAGUCUCGGCUAACUACGUGCCAGCAGCCGCAGUAAAACGUAGGAGGCGAGCGUUAUCCGGAUUUACUGGGUGUAAAGCGCGUGCAGGCGGUCGCGUAAGUCGUGUGUGAAAGCGCUCAGGCUCAACCGGGCGAGGACAUGCGAAACUGCGUGACUGGAGGUAGGUAGAGGUCUGUGGAAUUCCGGGUGUAGUGGUGAAACGCGUAGAGAUCCGGAGGAACACCAGUGGCGAAGGCGACAGACUGGACCUGACCUGACGCUAAGACGCGAAAGCAUGGGGAGCGAACGGGAUUAGAAACCCCGGUAGUCCAUGCCGUAAACGAUGUGUACUAAGUGUUGCGGUGUAGAAACUGCAGUGCUGAAGCCAACGUGAUAAGUACACCACCUGGGGAGUACGGUCGCAAGAUUAAAACUCAAAGGAAUUGACGG
rnacentral:rRNA from 1 species